UCGGAUAUGGUGUAAUGGCUAACAUUACCGCCUCUCACUGUCACUUGAAAGUUGACCAGCUCGCGGUAGCUCGGGGUUCGAUUCCCCGUAUCCGAA